GGGUUCAUAGCUCAGUUGGGAGAGCGUUAGACCGAAGAUCUAAAGGUCUCCGGUUCGAUCCCGGAUGAGCCCA
rfam:Emiliania huxleyi CCMP1516 EMIHTscaffold_40_Cont1742, whole genome shotgun sequence.